CCCUUGUGUAGCAUAUAAUCAAUAAAUAGCCAUAAAAAUAGUAAACCAGCAGCCCUCAGGGCUGCUUUACCUAUGGAGUAGCCAUUCUUUUAUUCCUUUACUUUCUUAAUUAACUUGCUUUCACCUUACUCUAUGGACUCGCCCUGAAUUCUUUCUUGCACAAGAUUCGAGAACCCUCUCUUGGGAUCUGAAUUGGGACCCCUUUCUGGUAACAACUUCUGGAAAGGAAUGAGGAAAGAUAGAUCAAACGGGAUUUAGAAAGAAAUUCUAAAACUCUGCACUACUGCUUCUAAAGACAUGUGAAGGGACUGAGAUUGUCAUCCUACUUGAAAAAAAAAGUCAAGUACACAUAUGCAGCAAUGGUGAUGGUGAAGUCACAGGUAGGUGAGGAAUCACUAGUGUGAAGUGGGAGGCAGGAAGCCCUGCCUGUGUGGGGAAAGAGAGCAAGAUCAGAUAUAGAAGUGAGACAACAAGAGAUCUUGAAAGUCAUGGAGAAGAGCUUAUUCCUGAAAAGUUGGCAACUAGGAACCCUUAUCCUGACCCAACAUAUGCUGUAAGCCAAGCUGGGAAGCAAGACCCCUUCAUUAAAAUACACCUGACAAUGCCAGUCUGUGAGUGACAAAAGACAGAGCCACCAUCCGUGCAGUGGUUCAGAGCAGAGCUACAGACCCAAAUCUGGACACCUCCACACAUUAGGGAUGUGGCCUUGGAUAAGUAACUCAACUGCUGUGUGCCUCUAUUGUUUCUUCCUUUUCUCAUCUUUUCUAGUAUAGGUUUCUUCUGAGGUUUAAAUGAACUGACAUAUGUAACGUGCUUACUACACCACCUGGCAAACAGUAAGCCCUCUGUAUUAGAUAUUAUUCUUAUAGGAAUCAGGAGGAGAGAUAGAUUACCACAUGCUGACCAGAACAGGUCAGCUUCUGUUACUUUUCUCUUUAAAAGUCUUCCUUUUUUCUAUAAAUUGCUUUUGAAACCCUGAGCUCCAAAUAUACCAGAUGCCUCUUCAUAUACACACUGCACGCAGGCACACACGCAGGCACGAUCUACCACAUUUCACAGGCUAUGUACUUUGGAUGCCAGCUCAACCACAUCUGCCGACUUCUGCUAACUCCUCCUCCUUUGUGAAGCCUUCCCAAUUAUUCCAGGUGGAAUUAUUUAAUUCCCCUGUAUUUCUAAAGGUCUUUCUUAUUCUAUGUCGCUUCUCAGCUAUGUGACUCUUGGUAAAACACUUACUUAACCCUAUCUGUAUUUCCGUAUCCUUAUUAGUAAAAUGAAAAAACACCUAAUCCUAUUAGGCUUUUGUGAGCACUGAUAUAUGAAAAAUGCUCAUGAAAGUGCCUGGUAUAUAGUGGAGCUCAGUAAAUGUAGCAUUGUUUUUAGUAGUGUUAAAACAUGUACAUGCUAUGUUAUAAUUAUGUUUUUUUUCUUUUCUUCUCACUAGAGCGUAUAUUAUUGGCAUGCAUGGAAGGGAACACAUCUAGUUCUUCUCCUCUUUGUAUCUUCAGCACCAGAGAUAAUGCCUAGAACAUGCAAGGACCAAAUAAAUAUAAGAUAGUUAAUUCAUUUUAUACCACCAGCACUGUGUAUAAUACAGAAUAAGUCGUCAAAUAUGCUUUCAGAAAAGAACUUGAAUGAGAACUUUUGCCAAUCUAUGAUUUGAGCAUGUCCAUUCACGUUCAUUCUCCACAAUCAUUUUGAGUAUUUCAUGAGAAAAAGAAAAGUUUGUUUCAGUUGAUCUAGGAAGUAGCAAAAUUAUCAUCACAAUACAUCAUAAAGAGUCAAAAAUACAGGUUAUUUUCCAAAGGGACAACCUUAGUAUAAUAAUAAAAGAACGUACAACUAGUGAGAUCAUGGGAAAAUUGUAGAAGUGUGUGUGUGUGUUACAAAAGAAGAAGUGAGGAAAUAAAUAAAUAAAUAGGAAAAUAGGAGAUGGGUAGUAAAAAUAGCAACUAAAUGAUAAUAAUUGGAAGAUAUGUAUUCAUUAACACAUUAAAAGUAAUAGUUUCAAUGCUCAAUGAAAGAUAAAUGUUGCCAGAAUGGAUUAAUAAAACAAACCAUAUUAAACGUUGUUUACAAAAGAUACAGCUUAUAUGUAAAUAUAUACAAGCUAAAAAUAAAAGAAUCGAAGUAGGCAUAAACAAAAAGAAAGCUGAUUUAUCUAGAUUCAUAUCUGUCACAAUAGACGUUAAGGUAAGAAGCACUGUCAGAGAUUUAUGAAAAG
rnacentral:lncRNA from 10 species